UAAUUACUCCCUCCGUCCGGAAUUACUUGUUGCAAAAAUGGAUAGAAAUGGAUGUAUCUAGAACUANNAUACAUCUAGAUACAUCCAUUCCUUGGACAAGUAUUUCCAGACGGAGGGAGUACAUU
rnacentral:pre_miRNA from 1 species